UUAAGAGCCAUAAUUUUAGAAAAUGCCCUUUUAUGAUCCACACUACCUCUUACAAAAUAGGCCUACUCCAACGUUCAUCUAGCUUUUGUGAAGUAUGAACUUCUACAACACUGCCUACAGAGUAC